ensembl:lncRNA
UUCUGUAAAUGAACGUGAAAGGGCUUUUAACAGACCGGGGGCAGGAAGUAGCUAAGGGAAGCUGGGUUUGGGGGGGUGGCUGAGGUAGGGGAAGCUUCGGGGUUGCUGGAGGAAGAUGGGUUACAGCUGGUGGAGUGGGCUGGGGUCCCCAACAUCUGUCCCUCCCUGCCACUUACUUAUUCCUCUUUCUAGCAUCCCACUUGCCUGCUCCUCACUGCAGUUCUUCCCAUGCUCUGGUCCAGCCGGGGGCACAGUGAGACAGGGGCUGCUUGGCUGACAGAUUUUGAAGGGAUUUAAUGGUGGCCCACUAGAGACCAAGCUGAGCCUGGCCUGCUCAUUUUACUGGUGAUUCAAGAAGGAUUUACAGGCAGGUCAAAGAUGGAAAAGGUACAGUCCUAUUUAACGUUGGAUGAAGAUGACUUGCUCUCUGACCUAAGCAGUGGGGACCUAGAGAUGUUGCUAUCAUUCCUCGUGGGUAAGGUACAUGAAAUCGAAGUGAGAGUGAGCACAGAGAAGGAUGAGAUCAUGAGACUUGAGACAGAAAGAGCACAAUACGUCACAGAAAGAGACAACUGUCUGUCACUGGCAGCACAGAUUGUGCAUUUGCAUCCAGUAUUGGAAGAGGAAUUCAAGACUCGAGAACGACUUCAAGCUGUUGUAUCUGAGCUGAAAAGGCUGAAAAAGGAUAUUGCUCAAGAUACCAGUGAGCAGCCAGAUGCGGCCAAAUUAGAACAGUUGAUAGCUGAAUCAGAAACCAUGAUAACCUCUCUCCAUCAGAAACAGCGUAUGUUUAAAAGCGAGAAAAUUCAUCUGACUAAGGUACUGGAGACCACCCAAAAUACGCUUUCCGAGGCACAGGCAGAAAGCCAUGCAGGACUCCCACAAAUGGACUCUUGGAGAGUGCUGCCGAUCAGGAGCUGCUUCGCUUGCAGAAGGAAUGUCCUGAGCAAGCUCAUGUGAAGUCUUUGGGGGAUAAUGAAGCCGACAGACAGCUGGAUGCCUGCAUCAGACAGCUGGGAGUGUUAAACCUCCUCGCUAGGAAGAAGUGAACUUCUGUCUCCAGCAGGGGAUAUGUGUUAAUCAGCAGACCUGAAGUUCCGAAUUCCACUUGCAGAAGAUGUAGGCAAGUAGGAGGUGUGUGGCCACCAGUACGCUGAGCCCCUCUUGUAGGAGGCAUGGGAAGAGACACCAUCUGGAGCGUAGCUGUACCAGGUUAAGCAGCCUGACCGCUCCCCAAUUUGAUUUCAUUUUACUUCACUUCAUUCACCUUCCAGCUGUCCACCAGGACAUAGCAGCAAAAUAUUUGAUUGUUCUUCCCCAGUCUCGUCUUCUCUGGAUGCUGCAUGGGGGACAUGAAGCAAAACCUGCUGUAUGAUGAAUUCUGCUACUCUCUGUUUCAUGUAUGCAGGGUUUUAUUUUCAUAAAUAUUGAGACUAGUCCAAUGGUUUGUUGUCAUUGGUGUCAGGGAUGCAGAGACUAAAGGAAACCAAUGGUUUAAGAAGGGCCCAUUUCAGCCAAACUCUCCUGGCAUCAGCCAUUUCCAUGUCCGCUCACCCUGGUUUGUGUGGCUGCUUCCCAUCCAACAAUAGAUUUCCCUUUCCAGCUAGUAGUCUAAUUUCCCUGUUUAGAUAGGCCAUAUCCACUGCGUUGAUGCACUUCUGUUGCUGUCUCAUUCCACUUCACACGGACCUAUCGCCAUUCUUUCUACUGGAUUGCCUUGAAGUUUCUCCAUGUUGAAAGUAGGGUAUUUCCAGGCAAUCUGUGAAGAUCAUCAGGUGUAUGUGAAACACAACUGGAGACGGAAGCCAUUUGCUGAUCUGGAAGCUGGUCAGCUCAUGGGAGACAAUGUACAAAAUGGUGGCUAGGUGUAAUUGUAAUGCAGUGCGGCUGGAUUUCUAGAAAGCUCUGAGCAGAGACAUGUUUUUGCAUAACUUCGAAAUAAAGUCAACUUUCUUCCAUAAGCA